CCUACGGGCGGCAGCAGUGGGGGAUAUUGCACAAUGGGGGGAACCCUGAUGCAGCGACGCCGCGUGGGUGAAGGAGUGCUUCGGCAUGUAAAGCCCUAUCGGCAGGGAAGAAGCAAGACGGUACCUGACUAAGAAGCCCCGGCUAACUACGUGCCAGCAGCCGCGGUAAUACGUAGGGGGCGAGCGUUAUCCGGAUUCACUGGGUGUAAAGGGAGCGUAGACGGCCAUGCAAGCCAGGGGUGAAAGCCCGGGGCCCAACCCCGGGACUGCCCUUGGAACUGCAUGGCUGGAGUGCGGGAGGGGCAGGCGGAAUUCCUGGUGUAGCGGUGAAAUGCGUAGAUAUCAGGAGGAACACCGGCGGCGAAGGCGGCCUGCUGGACCGCGACUGACGUUGAGGCUCGAAAGCGUGGGGAGCGAACAGGAUUAGAUACCCGGGUA
rnacentral:rRNA from 1 species